AUUUCACUCACCCAGAUAGAGAAAAAAAAUGAGUUUACUGCAAUUCUAAAUAGAGUCUGUCAGUUUAAAAGGUGGACUCUGGCAAGUCUGUGGGAACAAGCCUCCAUUCACACCACAGAAACCACCACUGACCAGUUUCUAUGUGCCAGGCAUCGUGCCAGGCACCGUCGGGAGAGAGAUGAGUAAGAUGAGAUGACCAAUCCCCAUCUACCGUGUGUGCACACAACCACGCAUUCGCAAGGGUGUGGGCACACGAACACCGACAUACACCUACCUACAGCAGAAAGCAGAAUUGUAAAUUCAGGGACAGCUAUAACUCUAGCAGUUGGACAGGGAAGAGAGAGCUCUAUACUCGUCCAGGAUGACAUCUCAGAGGAGGUGGCAUUUGAGUUGGGUCUCCAGGGAGGAGCAGCAAGGACUCAACUGGAAGAAAUGAGGGGAAGGACACUGACCAGAGAGACCUCUGGGAGUGCUCGAUGAGCCAGGAGGAGGGCAGGAAACCUCUGGAACCUGAACCAUUUCUCUCCCCACCAAGGCCUCAGUUCCCACAUCAGUAAAACAAGGGAUUGGCCCUUGACCAUGAAGGUUCAUUCUGGCUCAGACUCCAUAGGAAACUCAUUUCCACCCCUCCCUGGCAUUCCAGGUGCCCCCAGGUAACCAGAUCUUCUCUAUAUGCCACACAUUCAGUAAGAACUAACCUUUCUCUGGGCUAUCCCAAAGCUCCAGAAAGAGUGUAAAUCCUAAAAAGAAAACUAAUUUCACUGAUUAACUUUCUAUUGAGUCUAUGAUCCAGGAAAGAUCUUGGGAAAAAUAUCCAUGAAAUAAUCAAGCUAAGGAGAUGAAAGACUGGAGUUGGAGAGGGAGGGAGAGAGCUGAGGGUAGCAGGUUCCCAGGGAGGAGCCAUAUUGGGAUCAUCCAGCUUGGAAGGGUGCUGGAGAGGAUGAUUGUAGGGUGACAACUGUGCAACAGGCUCAGAGACCCACAGUCCACCUGGAGAGGAGCAUGGAGCCCCCAGGACAAAAAUGGAACUGAUAAAUUUGACUGUGUUGAGAGGAGGCAUUGUUAACCCCAGGAAAGGAAACAGCAUAGUACGCUAUGUGGCUCAGCUAUGCACAAUAUGUUCUUUGUUACACUAAGGUAAGCACUGAAUAGGCACAGAAUCCCAUACUGAGCCCCAUUCUAGGUGGAGAAUGAGAAGAGGGGAAGUAUGUUGUAUGUCUGUACUGCAAGGGUGCUGGCCUUGGUAUCUUCCACAGUGGAAAGUAAAUAGAUGGUGCUUAAAAUGGAAAGAAAAUUUAAAUAGCAGUAUACACAUCACUUAGCAUAUGGAGAGAAACAUCAGAAGAAACAGCUAACUGUUGAAAGUGGUUGCCUCUCAAGAAUGUGACUUGGGGGAAAAGACAGGGGGCUGCUGUCUUUCUUAAGAGCCUUGGGAGCACAUUUGACAUUUUAAGCCAUAGUAUGUAUAUGUAUUCCUUUGAUAAAAAUUAAAACUAAAUUAAAAGGAGGGAAUAAAUGUGCAAUGCUCUAGCCAUACUUUCUAAUCAUUAAGCUGUCUCAAAAGGCAUGCACAACAUGCCUGACUCUUUGGAGAGGACACAACCUUCACUCCUUUCUCCUUCUCUUCCCCAUUAACCUGUAUUUUUUUUCUCUUCAUAGUCUUUAAGAUCACCUCAUUUAUUAAUUUGCUGGUGUGUGUGCUUAAUCUGCCUCCUCCAGCAGGAGGAGAACAGGGACUGUCUUGUUUCUUCUGCAUCCCUUGUGCUUAGUCCCCAGCACACAUUAGGUGCUCAAUAAAUGGAUCAACACUGAACAGUCCUGUGCCAGUCAAUGGGUUUUCUAAGGCACCAUCAAAAAGGCUUGAGCAUUCAAAAGUGCUCGUUCUACUGAAAGUGGCUCAACCACAAACAGCUGAUGAGGACCAGAGCCCAGCAAUAAGUGGUGCUUAGGCACAAUCACGCACACUCAAGCCCACAUCCAGGAAGCAGCACGCUUGCUUAAGGUCAGCAAUUAACGUCUGCAGGGUCAGCCAAACCGUCCUGAGACCACGUAUUGGUCUUUCUGCCAAUUAUACCAGUAAGUGAGAGGGAAAUGGCUGUCCAGUGGCUUCAUGGCAAUUGGGAACAGACCCACGCCACAGAUGGCCAAUGGAGGCAAGGUGUUCAUCCUGUGCCAGCAUGGGCGUGUCUCCGUGCAGGGGGUGGGCAUCAUCUCCCCUCAACACAGGAGCUCUUCUCUGAGUGAAGGGUGUGGCUGUCAGAGAAGCUGCAAAUGCCACCCCAGGAAAACAGCCACAUCCCUGCAAGUGCACAGGCCUGUGGGGCUCCCCAAGCUGGGAUCUGAGGUCUACCUGGGCAGCGGGUGCCUUGCCCCUUGGAGCUUUAUCUUGAUGACUCUCUGUGGUCAUCACUGGUUUUAGGUUUGUCUCCUGCCCUGGACGGACACUCGUGUUGUCUCUGCUCUUCUGCCUCUCCUCUGACUGUGAUCCACCGUUCUUUGGGGGCAGUCUGGUCUGAUUGAUGUCCACUUCUUCCCCCGAAAAGCAUGAAGAAAGGUGGAAAGAAGGAAGAAGAUGGCAAGAAGGGAGCAGUUACUGAUUUGUUGCAGCUGGAUUAGGAGAUCCAGGGAGCCACUAUGUGCUUCCUAGUGAACCAGCACCGAAACCCCACUAACAAAUGCAAGGUGCCUAGGAGUGAGCCUCAGGUGUCACAGAGACCAAGUCGAAUCAGAAAUUCUUCCUGAUGGUGGUUCACGCCUGUAAUCCCAGCAGUUUGGGAGGCCGAGGAAGGUGGAUCACCUGAGGUCAGGAGUUUGAGACCAGCCUGACCAACAUAGUGAAACCCCGUCUCUACUAAAAAUACAAAAAUUAUCUGGGCAUGGUGGCAGGCACCUGUAAUCCCAGCUACUCAGGAGGCUGAGGCAGAAGAAUCGCUUGAACCGGGAGGUGGAGGUUGCAGUGAGCUAAGAUUGUGCCAUUGCACUCCAGCCUGGGUGACAGAGCAAGACUCCAGCUAAAAAAAAAAUCAAUAAAUAAAAUAAAAUAAAAAGAAAGAAAUGCUUCCUGAGAGAUGGCUGAUAGGAGGAUGCCACUGGGCCUCUCAGUCAGGGCAGCACCAGGCCUUUAGAAACCUCAACACUGAAAAGAUACAGAAUAUAGCAUUGAAAAUAGGAAUGAACUCUAAAAUAAGAAAAAGGAGACCCAAAGGGAUUCUCAUUUUCCCCAUGAUGAACUUGUUCAAGGCUUUCUUGGUGAAAUAUCAAACAAAAAAUCCUUCCCUCCAAUUCCUCACCUUGGGGUAUCCCUGACUUGGCUGUGUCUUCCUGGGGUGAUGCCCCCACCUUCCCUACACUCUGGGAAGUCAGAAGUCACUGCUGGAGAGUCAGAAAUAUAGCCAGAUCAUCCAAGGCUGUUCUGUCUACACUGCACCCCUAAGCCUCAAAGGUCUACCUCCUCAUUUUCACCACAAAGGGAAGCAAUUUUGGUUUCCAUGGCUCUACUUCUUCAGGCUGUGACACCUCUGGGAGAGACCCCAGGGCCAUGCCUGCCACCAAUGGUCCAGGACCACAGACAGUCACACCGACACUCCUGUGGCUGGGGACAGAGCUACCAGUGUGUGGUCUCAGCCAGGGGCUGCCACACCCCCUCCAGUAAGCACUUGGAAAUAUCGGAGUGGGUGCUGUCUUUGGUUGUUGCAAUGUGUGAUCCCAGCAGCUACGGAUGUUAAUGACAAUGAACUGGAUACUCUCACACAAGGCAGAAUUGUCCCUUGAAAAAUACUAACAGGGCCCCUGUUGAGAAAUUUCAUCAACUUGAUUGAUUAUAAGCCUCAUAGGGAAUUUGGCACUAAAUUUCACAGUGCCUCUCUUCUUUACAUUCUCUGUUAGUUAAGUGGGAAUUUUCUUUUGCUAUUCCUUUUCAAACAUAAUUGAUACUGAAAGCAGUGAGCCCAUGGUUCACAGUAUCCUGCACAGGGUCCCCUCUAAUAUUCUGCAAGCACACUUAUCACCGCAUGUGUAUGAGAAAACUACCAGAGGCAAAAACACUAACGGCUAUGAAAUGAGGGAGGCAUUUUGUGAAACCUAGUGAAGGCAUACAUCUUGGAUUUUGCUCAGAAAGCCAGCUGUUGUGUUCAAAGAAUGCAUGCUUAUUUAUCCUUGCUUGAGUCAAUUAGAGAAUGUUGGAGCUGGAGGAAGUCUAGGAGGUGUUAUUUCAGAAAAGAGAAUACAAUAUGGAGUCCCAGGAUCAAGAAGCAACUUUCCCAAGGGCCGGGGUUGGGACCCUGAUCUUUGGGCUACAGCUGGGUCUAUCCCUGCCUGAACUUCCCUCCCAUGGGGUGUGGCCAGCACCUCUUUCUGGAGGUGCUAAGACAGCUUACAUGUGUACAGACUGAUGGUUCAUAUUUGAGAAGAUAGCAUCAUGAAGGUGCUCAUUCAGUCAUUUGUUCAUCCAGCAAACUGAGCACCCUCGGUGCCUGGCAGUGUGCUGGGAUCUGGGAGUACAAAGAUAAAUCAGACGUAAACUAUGCCUUUACCAGGGCUGGUGCUAGCCGCCCCAUGAAUUAUUAAUUACAAAGCUAAGACCUGAUCAUCUUGCUCAGGAGUCUCCGGGGGAAGAGGCACGCAUGAAUUGCUAAUACAGAAGGUGAAGGUUAUUUCAGGGAUGCGGGUGAUGCUUUGUGAGAGACAGGUGGUCAGACAGGGAGGCUGAGACAAUCAGAGAGUGCCAAGUUCCAGGACUGAGGCUACCUGGGCUCUCUGCCUCCUCUGUCACCCCCUCUACCUCCCAGCCAAGAUUCUGCAAACACAACAGAAAGGCAGGAGUUGACAUCUCAGGGGUCGCAACACCUUGUCUUCCCCGAGGCUCAGUGAGGCUUUGUCCGCUGUAUUCAUUUAACACUCCUGACGCCUGUAAAGACGAUGAAGCUGGCAACCAGAGAGAGCAACUGCAAGCUGCCCAGGCUCAGUUUUGCUUCAUCAGAGGAGCAGCUGUCUUCUCAUUAUGAGAUGCAUCGUUAAAAGCUUUGGACUUCUGCUUCCAGCCAAGAUGGAGUAACAGGGGCCAGAUCUGCCCUCCUGUCUGAAACAUCCAAAAACCAUACCAAAGAUUUGAAACAGUGGUUUUUAAAAGAGGCAACCAAAGACACUGAUUUCCCAAGAGACGAUGAAACAAAUGAGAAACAACCUCCCUCGAUGGUCAGAGGGGCCUUGCCCUGGGCCAGGGCCUGGGCGGUAAUGUGGAAGCCCAGGAGGCAGCUUGGGGACACGCCAGUCCUGGGACCCUGUGGGAUGCAGGUGGGGCCGGCCCCACCUUCCCAGCCCAAUCCAGCACUUCCUGACAGUGACGAAGCUCUCUCGACUUUGCACCAAGAAGCCCUGAUGUGAUAGUGCUCGUCUCCCACCCGGCAGAUGCAUAAACCAUUCCCCUCCCCUUUUAAUUGCA
rnacentral:lncRNA from 10 species